rnacentral:rRNA from 1 species
UACGUAGGGCGCAAGCGUUAUCCGGAAUUAUUGGGCGUAAAGAGCUCGUAGGCGGUUUGUCGCGUCUGCCGUGAAAGUCCGGGGCUCAACCCCGGACUUGCAGUGGGUACGGGCAGACUAGAGUGUGGUAGGGGAGACUGGAAUUCCUGGUGUAGCGGUGGAAUGCGCAGAUAUCAGGAGGAACACCGAUGGCGAAGGCAGGUCUCUGGGCCACUACUGACGCUGAGAAGCGAAAGCAUGGGGAGCGAACAGG